rnacentral:tRNA from 1 species
GCUGCGGUAGCUCAGUGGUAGAGCGGAGGAUUGCAGUACCUCAGCAUCCUCAGGUCCUGUGUUCGAACCACAGUCGCAGCU